UACGAAGGGGGCUAGCGUUGUUCGGAUUUACUGGGCGUAAAGCGCACGUAGGCGGAUCGUUAAGUCAGGGGUGAAAUCCUGGAGCUCAACUCCAGAACUGCCUUUGAUACUGGCGAUCUUGAGUCCGGAAGAGGUGAGUGGAACUCCUAGUGUAGAGGUGGAAUUCGUAGAUAUUCGGAAGAACACCAGUGGCGAAGGCGGCUCACUGGUCCGGUACUGACGCUGAGGUGCGAAAGCGUGGGGAGCAAACAGG
rnacentral:rRNA from 1 species